GAGGAAGUAAAAGUCGUAACAAGGUUUCCGUAGGUGAACCUGCGGAAGGAUCAUUAUCGUUUGCAACGGAGGUGCUCGAGCUGUCGCUGGCCUUUUCACAGGUCGUGCACGCCCGGGCACGCUCUUAUCCCACCCCCCUUAACCCCCCUUUGUGCAUCACCGCGUGGGUCCUCUCUCUCGAGGGGGCCUGCGUUUUUCACACAAACUUUGAAAUGGCUCAGAAUGUUCUUUGCGGUCACACGCAAUAAAAAUACAACUUUCAACAAUGGAUCUCUUGGCUCUCGCAUCGAUGAAGAACGCAGCGAAAUGCGAUACGUAAUGUGAAUUGCAGAAUUCAGUGAAUCAUCGAAUCUUUGAACGCACCUUGCGCCCCUUGGCAUUCCGAGGGGCACGCCCGUUUGAGUGUCGUGAAAAUCCUCAAAGCCCUUUUUCUUCGAUCGCCUUGGAUCGAGGGAGGAAGGCUUUGGACUUGGAGGUUCAAUGCUUGCCUUUGCCUUUUAAAAGCAAGCUCCUCUCAAAUGCAUCAGUGGGUGUUCCGCAUUUGUCGGUCCAGGACGUGAUAAGACUGCUUUACGUUUUGGACUCGAUGGCUGCUCUUUGGAUGCCUGCUUCCAACCGUCCCACGGACAAAAGAUGGAGUUUCCGGUCACCUGCCAUUUCGCUGGUUGGGGAGGCUGGACCCACGACACGCUCUUGACCUCAAAUCGGGCGGGACUACCCGCUGAACUUAAGCAUAUCAAUAAGCGGAGGAAAAGAAACUAACAAGGAUUCCCCUAGUAACUGCGAGUGAAGCGGGAAAAGCUCAAAUUUAAAAUCUGGUGGUCUCUUUGGCCAUCCGAGUUGUAAUUUAGAGAAGCGUCUUCCGCGCUGGACCGUGUA
rnacentral:rRNA from 1 species